rnacentral:sRNA from 1 species
UAUUCUGCCCUACGGGGAAGGAUGAGAAGCUUCGACUAAGGUUCGACUCGAGCGUCAGCGAGAGAACGUUGCC